GACGAACGCUGGCGGCGUGCUUAACACAUGCAAGUCGAACGAUGAAGGAGAGCUUGCUCUCCGGAUUAGUGGCGAACGGGUGAGUAACACGUGACUAACCUGCCCCUUUCUCUGGGAUAACGCUCCGAAAGGAGUGCUAAUACCGGAUACGAACUCUGAACACAUGUUCGGAGUUGGAAAGUUUUUCGGAAAGGGAUGGAGUCGCGGCCCAUCAGCUUGUUGGUGCGGUAACGGCUCACCAAGGCGACGACGGGUAGCCGGCCUGAGAGGGCGACCGGCCACACUGGGACUGAGACACGGCCCAGACUCCUACGGGAGGCAGCAGUGGGGAAUAUUGCACAAUGGGCGAAAGCCUGAUGCAGCGACGCCGCGUGAGGGAUGAAGGUCUUCGGAUUGUAAACCUCUUUCAGUAGGGACGAAGCGAAAGUGACGGUACCUAAAGAAGAAGCACCGGCUAACUACGUGCCAGCCGCCGCCGUAA
rnacentral:rRNA from 1 species